UUUACAUAAGUAUUCAGACCCUUUGCUAUGAGACUUGAAAGUUAGCUCAGGUGCAUCUUGUUACCAUUGACCAUCCUUGAGAUGUUUCUACAACUUGAUUGGAGUCCACCUGUUGUAAAUUCCAUUGAUUGGACAUGAUUUGGAAAGGGACACACCUAUAUUUAUUAGGUCCCACAGUUGACAAUGCAUGUCAGAGCAAAAACCAAGCCAUGGGGUUGAAGGAAUUGUCCGUAGAGCUCCGAGACAGAAUUGUGUCGCGACACAGAUCUGGGGAAGAGUACCAAAACAUUUCUUCAGCAUUGAAGGUCCCCAAGAACACAGUGGCCUCCAUCAUUCUUAAAUGGAAGAAGUUUGAAAUCACCAAGAUUUUUCAUAGAGAUGGCCAAACUGAGCAAUCGGGGAAGUGCUUUGGUCAGGGAGGUGACCAAGAACCCGAUGGUCACUCUGACAGAGCUCUAGAGUUCCUCUGUAGAGAUGGGAGAACCUUCCAGAAGGACAACCAUCUCCGCAGCACUCCACCAAUCAGGCCUUUAUGGUAGAGUGGCCAAACGGAAGCCACCCCUCAGUAAAAGGCACAUGACAGCCCGCUUGGAGUUUGCCAAAAGGCACCUUAAGACUCUCAGACCAUGAGAAACAAGAUUCUCUGGUCUGAUGAAACCAAGAAUGAUCUCUUUGGCCUGAAUUCCAAGUGUCACGUCUGGAGGAAACCUGGCACCAUCCCUAAAGUGAAGCAUGGUGGUGGCAGCAUCAUUCUGUGGGGAUGUUUUUCAGCGGCAGAGACUGGGAGACUAGUCAGGAUCGAGGCAAAGAUGAACAGAGCAAUGUACAGAGAGAUCCUUGAUGAAAACAUUCACCUUCCAACAGGACAACGACCCUAAGCACACAGCCAAGACAACGUUGGAGUGGCUCCGGGACAAGUCUCUGAAUGUCCUUGAGGGGCCCAGCCAGAGCCCGGAAUUGAACCUGAUCAAACAUCUCUGGAGAGACCUGAGAAUAGCUGUGCAGCGACGCUCCCCAUCCAACCUGACAGAGCUUGAGAGGAUCUGCAAUGAAUAAUGGGAGAAACAACCCCAAAUACAGUUGUAAACGGUCUGAAUAGUUAUGUAAAUGUAAUAUUUCCGUAAAAAAAGAAAAGAUUUAUCAAACAUUUCUAAAAACCUGUUUUGCUUUGUCAUUAUGGGGUAUUGUGUGUAGAUUGAUGAGGGGAGAAAACUAUUUAAUGCAUUUUAGAAUUAGGCUGUAACAUAACAACACGUGGAAAAAGUCAAAGGGUCUGAAUACUUUCGAAGGCACUGUAUAUAUCGUGUGGUUUCUUUUGCAAACUUUGAUAAUUCCAUGCACAGCAUAGCUUCAUUGAACAUGUACAUGAAUAAGCUCUAAGAAAGUGUGCUUUCUGAACAUGAUUAAUCAAACUCUAUCAAUUACAGUCAAUUACAUUUAAUUACAGUUAUCAAGAGAUCAUGAUUAUUGGAUUAAACCCACUCACAUUAACUAAUCCAAUCCUAUCUCUUCCUCUUAAUCCUCCCAAUCAGGAAAGCAGUUACAAUUUACAUAAUUUCUGUAGGAUAAUGGUCAAAUCAAUCUAUCUGUUUAUUAGUGAUAUGUCCUAAUACACUGAUCUCAAGUGAUUAGUCAACAGGUGCCUCACUGGAAAAGGGAUCGGUGUCUGUAACCACUGAGCAAACUCAAUGGCUGAAUCUUCAACUACUUUCUAUGGUCUGUCUAUUUUCCACCACCAUGGAAAUUGAUUUGUGUUAUUCUACCAGAGUUCUCUCUUCUUUCAUAUUUUGUGAUGACUUGAAACAUGGUAUGUACAAUGUAAAAUACAUUUGUGUUUGAAAUUCAUCAUUUAAUGGACCUACCUCACUGCCACCAAUGCAAUGUUGAUACUACGCCCACCUCCUAAUUACUGUGGAUUUGCUCUGCUUGGGGAAUUGGAAUGGGAUCCUCCAAGGCUCCUGCUGUGUGUCUGGGUGAUAAAUAUCCACAGCAUGUAAUAUAAUCACAACAAUAUUAAAAGAAUGUCAUGUUGACUGUGCCAGGUAAAAUUCUGUGAAUAAUUGUAACGUUAUGAUACGUAUGCUUUUCAGACCUGGGUUCUGUGUAUGUGAUUGUGUUAUUUAAAUACUUAUUUUCUGUGUAAUGGAGUAUUUUCAAAUAAUGUGGCCCGAAUCAACUAUUUCUAUUAGAAGUAUUUCAAAGUAUUUUCAUUUUUUUUCUAUUAAUAACCUAUUAAUUUCAAAUAAUAUUUUCAAAUGCCUGGGUUAAAUACAUA
rnacentral:lncRNA from 1 species